CUCUACAUGUAACUAGGUGACUACGCCUUGCAGCUUCCCCUACGUUAUAGGCUUUUUAACUUCAUUAUGUGAUCAGGCAUGUUGCCAACUUUGAAGGCCAUUCCACACAUCUGAGUGAUCUGGCUUGCCGUCCAGGUGAUUUAAGUGCCAAUCUUGAUAAAGGUCCGCAUAAGGACCGAAACGUCGAUGAAAUACGGCAUCAACAGUGAACCCGAAUAAAAAUAUACUGAAUUUACAAGUGACUUCAGAGACUAAUUUCUGGGCGCGA